rnacentral:rRNA from 1 species
ACCCGCUGAACUUAAGCAUAUCAAUAAGCGGAGGAAAAGAAACUAACAAGGAUUCCCCUAGUAACGGCGAGUGAAGCGGGAUGAGCUCAAAUUUAAAAUCUGGCUGGUUUACUAGUCCGAAUUGUAGUUUAAAGAAGCGUUUUCGGUGGCAGCCUGGGUAUAAAUCCUUUGGAACAGGGUAUCAUAGAGGGUGAGAAUCCCGUCUUUGACUCAGUGCAUGCUACUAUGUGAUACGUUUUCAAAGAGUCGAGUUGUUUGGGAAUGCAGCUCAAAAUGGGUGGUAAAUUUCAUCUAAAGCUAAAUAUUGGCGAGAGACCGAUAGCGAACAAGUACCGUGAGGGAAAGAUGAAAAGAACUUUGAAAAGAGAGUUAAACAGUGCGUGAAAUUGUUGAAAGGGAAACGCUUGACACCAGUCAUGCGAGCGGAAAAUCAGUCUUUUGCAGUGGGGAGUCGUGUGGGUUCGGACCGCAAGGCCGGCCUGCGCUGCAUCUCUGCUGUAAGUGAUGCACUUUUUCGUUUGCAGGCCAACAUCAGUUUCUUCUGCUGGACAAAACUCUUGAGAAGGUGGCAGCUUAGGCUGUGUUAUAGCUCUUGAGCGAUACAGUGGAGGGGACUGAGGUUUUCGCAGCGCGUGCUCUCGGGCAAGGCUGAUUGGGUGCUAUGGGAUCGUUCGGUGUACAAUGCAUGCAUUUUGCGCCGUGUCUUUUCUAUACUCGCUCAACUCGGCUCUUCCGCGCUUAGGAUGUUGGCUUAAUGGUUUUAAUCGACCCGUCUUGAAACACGG